rnacentral:RNase_P_RNA from 1 species
CAGGUUGGUCGGGAGAUCGCGGCAGGAAACUGUCGAGGAAAGUCCGCACUCCAUAGAGCAAGAUGUCGGGUAACUCCCGGGGCGAGGUAACUUGCCGGACAGGGCCACAGAAAUAAGUAGCCGUAUUGACGGUCAUAGUGAAAAGGUGGUGUAAGAGACCACCGGCGCAGGUGGCAACAUCUGCGGCCAGGUAACCCCCAUUUGGAGCAAGGCCAAGCAGGAAUAAGGGGCGGCUCGUCCCAUUUGAGUUCCGGGUAGGCCGCACGAGGUACGUUGAGAAGCGUGCCCUAGAGAGAUGAUCUCCGGCGGAUGCCAUCCCAAGAUGCGUUCGCGCACAGAAUGCGGCUUAUAGACUGACCUGAGGC